UGGGGGAUAUUGGACAAUGGGCGCAAGCCUGAUCCAGCAACGCCGCGUGAGGGAUGACGGCCUUCGGGUUGUAAACCUCUUUCAGCAGGGACGAAGCGAAAGUGACGGUACCUGCAGAAGAAGGACCGGCCAACUACGUGCCAGCAGCCGCGGUAAUACGUAGGGUCCGAGCGUUGUCCGGAAUUAUUGGGUGUAAAGGGCUCGUAGGCGGUUAGUCGCGUCGGGAGUGAAAACUCAGGGCUCAACCCUGAGCGUGCUUCCGAUACGGGCUGACUAGAGGUAUGCAGGGAGAACGGAAUUCCUGGUGUAGCGGUGGAAUGCGCAGAUAUCAGGAGGAACACCGGUGGCGAAGGCGGUUUCUUCUUGGGCAUUACCUGACGCUGAGGAGCGAAAGCAUGGGGAGCGAACA
rnacentral:rRNA from 1 species